UUGAUCGAUCGCAUCCGUCUGACCUGCUCUCGCGUGUUGCUCUCAGCAGGCCCGCUGUGUGUUGGAUCGGUGCUGUUCAU
rnacentral:pre_miRNA from 1 species